rnacentral:rRNA from 1 species
AUUGAACGCUGGCGGCAUGCUUUACACAUGCAAGUCGAACGGUAACAGGCCUUCGGGUGCUGACGAGUGGCGAACGGGUGAGUAAUGCAUCGGAACGUACCCAGAGGUGGGGGAUAACGCAGCGAAAGCUGUGCUAAUACACCAUGUGAUCUGAGGCUGACAGCGGGGGACCGAGCAGCAAUGUUUGGCCUCGCGCCUUUGGAGCGGCCGAUGUCGGAUUAGCUAGUUGGUGGGGUAAAGGCCCACCAAGGCGACGAUCCGUAGCUGGUCUGAGAGGACGACCAGCCACACUGGAACUGAGACACGGCCCAGACUCCUACGGGAGGCAGCAGUGGGGAAUUUUGGACAAUGGGCGCAAGCCUGAUCCAGCAAUGCCGCGUGCGGGAAGAAGGCCUUCGGGUUGUAAACCGCUUUUGGCAGGAACGAAACGGUGUCCGCUAAUACCGGGCGCUAAUGACGGUACCUGCAGAAUAAGCACCGGCUAACUACGUG